GCUGCUGCGCUGGGCGGGCCGCGCCGAGGAGGCGCUCGCCUGCCCCGYGCCCCCCAGCUGCCUGCUGGACACCGUCACCGCGCAGAUCCAGGAGCACAAGGCGCUGGUGAAGGAGGCGCAGGCGCACAGCGAGCAGCUCGGCGGCCUCGAGGCCAUCGCCUGCCGCCUCAAGGACUUCAGCAGGAAGCAGGAUGGCGCCGUGAUCCAGAACCUGGUGCUGACGGCGCGGGAGCGGCUGGCCAAGGUGCUGCA